rnacentral:rRNA from 1 species
ACUUUUAACAACGGAUCUCUUGGCUCUCGCAUCGAUGAAGAACGCAGCGAAAUGCGAUAAGUAAUGUGAAUUGCAGAAUUCAGUGAAUCAUCGAAUCUUUGAACGCACCUUGCGCUCCCUGGUAUUCCGGGGAGCAUGCCUGUUUGAGUGUCAUUAAAUUCUCAACUUCGAAUCGUUUGUUUACAGACUUUACGAGGCUUGGACUUUGGAGUGUGCCGGUCUCUAACGAGAUCGACUCCUCUUUAAAUGCAUUAGCUGGAACCUCUUGUGGACCAG